GCGGGGUUUGUGUGUUUCUGGACUAUUCAUUAGUGAUUACAUACCCCCCGAACACCUGCAAGACUGAUUCAUAAAGCCAGCAUUCAUGGGCUUUGGCAAGGGUUUCAUGGGAACUGCAGGGUGCGGGGUACAGUCAUUGUAUCUGCAGAUAAAACACAUUCUCUUACCAAGGAGGCCUCUGAAAAUAGGAGCAGGCUGCAAUUCCAGUUCCACACCACGGGGUAUUAAGAAGAAAAGUGUUACUUCACCUCGGCUCUUUAGAAAGCCGGUGCGCUGUGCGACUGUGGCAUUCCUGGGCAAGGUUUCUUUCAAGACCCUCUCUGGGAGAGAACCAAGUUGGAGCCAUGGGGGAUGACGGUGCCUGACUUGGAAGAUGGGUAACAGAUUUCCCUGGGAGACACAAACAAACACGCGCAUAACUACAAUAGCAAGCAAGGGGCCCUUUUAGAGGCAACACAUUAAAAUGCAAGGCAGGGUUUCUUAAUUCUAGUGUAAAAGGAGGGAGGGGGACAGAACAGAAAGCCUCCCAAAGGAGCUUAGCAGGUGAAAACCACACACACAUACAAAAUGGUUCUCUCAGCUCCUUGUUUCUGUGUUUCCCACGUCAAGUGGAUCUGCGUGAGAAAAAUACAGGGCACUUCCCAGCCACAGGUCAACUCCUUCCUGGCCAUUCUGGAGAAAACAUGGUCUCUCCCCACUUAUAUUUAUUUUUAUUUAAUGUGCAUGGGUGUUUUCGCUGCAUAGAUGGAUGCACACCAUGUGCAUGCAAUGCUCCAGAAAGUCAGAAGAGGGCAUCCGAUCCUCCUCUAGAACAGAAGUGUUAACUCGCUGUCAUGUGGGCCCUGGGAACUAUACUCUGGUCCUCCGAGUGAGCAGCAACCGCUUGCUCUUCUGAGCCAUCUCUUCAGCCCUGCGGUUACCAUUUCUUCAGAAUAGACUUGAACCCAGGCAUGGCACUGGGAGCUUUGCCUUCACUUGGCACCUCUGAGCACACUGUGGGUGAUGUCAGCCUCUGGUCACAGCUAAAGCGGCUGAAGCUACAGGGAGGGUGUGCAGUAAUGGCGACUUGGUUCCUGUGUUUUGUAUAUCUGGUUUCUGCCAGGCUCCUUUCCAUGUCCCCCUUACAUAGAACUCUUGUAAUUUAAAAGGGAACCGUAAGCGAGCCUACACACAGGUGACUGUGGAAUACACCCCAACUCAGACACAAACCCUUUUUGAGACCUUCUCUGGUUUUCCCAUCCAGAAUGGCCCUACCCUCCAUCUGGUGCCACUGCUCUGAACUCACCAAGCAACAAAAGAGUUUCUUCGCCUAUAUUUCAUUUCCAGGGACUUCUUGGAAGGCAAGGCUUUGUACACAUUACCUACUUCAUGUUCCCAUGCAAACUGUCACAGUGACUAAGGCAGGGGAGCAAGGUAUUUUUCAAUGUUUGCUUAUCCUUCACAAAAGGAGAAAACCAUCUGCCUAUCAUCUGUCUGAGCUGCUGUGAUCCAAGUAACGACUGAGCAGUUGGGUGGCAACCAGUAGGUGGUCAUAGGGAAAUUCACGAAUGAACUAAGUCCUUAAUGGUGGGAAAAGACAAAACUUGGCAGGAUCUGCCCUUGCUUGGUGGAGUCUGAUUGGCAGAGCCAUUGUUCCAUUCUCCUUCUGUCCAAGACCAAGGUGAAGACCCUGUAAUAUCGUGACUCAAAGCUACACCAUGCCCAUUUUUUCUUUUUAAAUAUUUGGUAAUUUUGGAAAAAGGCAAGGCUCAUUAAUUUAUUAGUGCUUUUAUUAUUUUCAUUAAUUUUAGGUUUAAGUGGUAUCAUGUAAAUGAGGGAAUCAAGCACUAGCUAUACACUCCAAGUUAUCUCCACGUCACUGGCUAGAUUUCACUUCCUGAAGUCCUACAAACUCUCUAAACAUCUAUACCAAAAUGAGGACCAGGAGAUCAAACACAUGAAUCUCUGUGUGUGGGCUUUUAUAUCCAAACCACAAUGGGUACACAUUCUGAGGUCUGGGCUAUGCAAUUUGGUUUAGCAGGCUAGCGUUUUCUCAGGACUCAAGUCGUCCCCAAACUCCACCUUCAAAAAGCAGAUUUGUUUUUUGGUACUCAAUACUGCCUCUCCAUGGUUUAGGAAAAAAUUGGCUUUAAAACGGUGAUUUCAAUGGAGUCAUCUCAGUGCUGGAGAUAUCCCCUGAGGCCUGGGUCCCAUUCCCACAGCCUCCAUUUGGUUUGGAAUAUAAAGUUCCUGGUAUAGAGCUGGAAAGGCAGGUCAGGUAGGUAAGAGUGUCUUACCGUGCAGGCACGAAGACCACGAGUGCGAAUAUCCAACAUCAAUGUUAAAAUCUGUGUGUGGAUAUGCAUGUCUGUACCCUAGUACUGCAGGCUGGGGGUAGAUCAGACAAACACUGAGAGCCUGACUGGCCAGUCUGCCCAGCUGAAAUGGUUGAACUUUUAGUUCGAUGACAGAGCAAUAAGGUGGAGAGCCAUAAAGGAGGACAUUCAAGCUUAGUCCCCUGGUUGCUGUGUCUGAGUGCAUGCUCAUAAAUGUGCACAUUCAUGUAGAUGUAACACACACACACACACACACACACACACACACACACACACACACAGAUACUCCUUAAAAAAAAUAAAAAGUUGAAGCUGAGACUUUCUUCCAAUCUUCCCAUGGUCUCAAUGUAUAACCUUGGCUUCCAGGAUUUCCCAGUGACUCCCAGGAGAUGUUAGCUUCACCUGCCCAGGUAGCAGUUCUGGAGCCUCGUGGAAAAAGAAGAACAAAGGAAAGGGAAGCAGAGGCAUCAGAAAAUAUGCAGAACUGAAGCCCAUUGUUGCCCAAACCCAGCAAAGUGGGGAGGGGAAAUAUUUUCAUUUCUGCAAAGGCCAUAUGUGAGUGCCUGCAGGGAAGUCGUACCCACAGCCUCGUGACUGAACCAAUAACUCAUAUCUGAUUCAGAAGCCGACUUUGUUGAAUCAAUGUGCUACAGCUGUUCUCAGUCUACAUUCAGCCUUCCCCAAUGGGACCGAUUGUAGUCACAUGUCUCAUUUAUAGAUCUCAUGUGCAGGGGCCUGGAGACCUAAAUUAAAACCUUGUGCAUGUUACUUUGGUGAAUUCAACACCAAAGCAUUUUGGCUCCUCUGAAUAGGCCAUUCUCGAUAUAGAGAGGCUCUGGAAUACAAUGGACAGGAUGCAUCUUUUGGACUUAGCCUUUCUCCCUGGGGGAGGGCAUUUGACAUAAAACUAAUAAUGGAAUAUAUUCUAAUAGUACGUUGGGCUGUGGCCAGGAUGGGUCUGGGGUUGCAUGGAUAAAGGAGAGGAGGGACACGAGAUGGGGCAGGACUGAGGAACUAAAGUAUUGUUCCUCAGAGAACUGGGCCGGGGGUUGGAAUGAAAGACCCCACCAUAAGGCUUAGCAAGCUAGCUGCAGUAACGCCAUUUUGCAAGGCAUGAAAAAGUACCAGAGCUGAGUUCUCAAAAGUUACAAGGAAGUUCAGUUAAAGAUUAACAGUUAAAAAUCAAGGCUGAAUAAUACUAGGACAAGGGCCAAGAACCGAUGGUGCCCACCUGGGCCCCGGCUCAAGGCCAAGAACCGGUGGUACCCACCUGGGCCCCGGCUCAGGGCCAAGAACAGAUGGUACCCAGAUAAGGCGGAACCAGCAACAGUUUCUGAAAAAGUCCCACCUCAGUUUCAGGUUCCCCAAAUGACCA